AUGGGAAAUAAAGCACCAAGUAAACAAGAAAAAACGAAUUUGGUGAUGCACAGUUUAUAUACAAAUCCUGUGUCUGGAUUCUUCCCAGACUUUGGGAAAAAUUAGUUAAUAUAAAAAAAAACAUAUGUGUUAUUAAGUAGUACCUUAGGCACUAUCAUACUACACUUGUUAGAACGCACAUGGUUGUUGGCAUGCAGUGAAGCAAAGAAAGCAAUACGCUGUGGACUUCAGCAGUGGUAUCUCUGGAACAGCACAAGGCUAAGUUGCAAGCACUGGCACUGAUGCAGCUGGUCUUCAGUUUUCAGUUUAUUCAGUAUGCCUUUCCUCUGGAAUAUUAAAUACAUUAAGUAUUUUGUCUGAUGCAGUACUGGACUCCUCUUAGGCCAAUAAUAAGCUGGAAACAUUCUGAGUUAAAUCAGGUCCCAUCUCACCUAUCUUCCCCAUUGCAUAAGCAUUUUUUCCUGUGUCCCCCACCUGAAGUUGAUCAACCCUUGAUGUUCCAGCACAUUAGAUAGAAGGCUCAAGUAAUUUAAUAGCAUGACCUGAAAAUUAAAGCUUGAAGGCAAAGCAUUUUUCAUCCAGCCAUUAGCUAAGGAUGGAAUUUAUUCACCUCAUCUCUCCUGCAUAUAUUUAACUCCUUUGUUAACAUCACCAGCUAGAACUGCUGCUAUGGGAAGAUACCAUCAGCAGUCCCUAGACCACAGGGUCUUGAGUUAUGUUUUACAAAAACAUCUGACAGCUCCAGCAACACCACUCAUCUCUUGGCUGCCCACAAGCAGUGAGGACAGAGCUGGGGUACAGCACAGGGCUGGGGGCCUCCAGUACCACACAUGGCUACCAGUGCCCUGCCACUCACACUGUUUUGGCCUUCAACAGCCCCUGGUGCUGCAGCCCCAUCAGGCUUUGGAGCUCUUUCAACUGGCUUUUUUACAGCAGCAUUCAGUAUGUUGGUCUGCUGUGUAAGGCUAGUUCCCAUACUAUCUACUUGCUGUAGUGUAAAUACCAACUCUCAGUUCCCUCAACCACCCAACUCAGAGCCAUCCAGAGAGAACAAGAAAGGAAAUAUAAAGCACAAUGAAGAUGCAAAGACAGGAAUAGGAAAAAGAAAAAGGGUUUCAAUUAUGCAAUACAAUCAAGAGCACCUGUGCUGGAAUUCAUUAACUCCAUUGAGCAGGCAGCUGCAUAUUUGCAACAUCCUGAUGAGGCAAGGGAAAAAAAAGAACAGAUCACUGACUGUACAGAUUGGAAAACAUAACAAAACAUUUAAAAUACCUUUUUUUUUUUACUCAGACAUUUGAUUAUCCUGUUCCCCUCUCAGAAUGGCUGAUUUCCUGUAUUUGUGCAUAUAAGUCUGUGUAGUUCAUUUUAUAGGUUUCUUCAGUAUAAAUACAAAAGAACAAUGAAAUAAUAUUCUCCAAAAAGUACAGUUCAUACUAGUGUUUCUGUAAAGUUAAAUACUUGAAGCAAUGCUGAACACCUGUCUUCUGAAGUUAAUCAAUUGAGAGACCAUUCUGACUAGCCUAAUAUGGCUGAUAAUUGUGGUUUAAUUUUCACCCUGGUAUAAGUUCUUACCUAUAAGAAUUUAUAUUCUUAUUUUCCCUGCUGCAGGUUUGUGUUUUAUGCUAGGUGGGUAAGUCUAUAACCCUUGAAACUUUCCCUUGUACCUCUGUAAUCACUUUUGGCUGUGGAGAAAAGUCCAUAUUCCCGAUUCAUACACCUGUGGCAAUUAAGGGACAUUAGGUGGAUCUUGACCUCACUGGCUUCUUUUGGCCUCUGCUAACAGUGAUCACAUAGGUUAUUUUCAAGUGCUUAUUGGACUUUUCAAGGGGAAAUUCUGAAAAAGCAGAUCACAAAUGUCUCCUAUGUGCAACUGCUCUGAUGCUGUGGGAGGACUGUAAUGCUGCCUCAGAUUAUAUUCAAUUCUACUCAUGUUGCUUAAUGAAUGAGGUGUGUGAGGAGUCUGGAUUCAAACAACGGCCUCUGCAAAGCUGGAACAUCACAAGAUUCCCAUGAACAGAUUUCCUCAGGUUUGGCAAGGGAAGACAGAUGCAUGCUGUUAGUUAUACUUCAGUGGGAUCUUCCAGUAGUAUCUUUAAAAAUGGAAGACUUUAGCAAGAAUCCAUUGUGCACCAAGUUUUUGAUCUCUUACUAAAAUAUGAACAAGGCAAGCAAGAAGAACUGACAGUAUUUGGUCUGUGCGUCUGUCUGCCUGGAUGUAGUGUCACACUUUGCGUUAUGAUUUGUGUUCUCCUUUAUAUUCUGGAGACUAAUUCAUCUAUCUUGAGUACUCCUUCUGUU
rnacentral:lncRNA from 1 species